AGGGCGAUAGUCGCUGGGUGUAGACCCGAAACCAAGUGAUCUACUCAUGGCCAGGAUGAAGGUGCGGUAACACGCACUGGAGGUCCGAACCCACUAAUGUUGAAAAAUUAGGGGAUGAGCUGUGGGUAGGGGUGAAAGGCUAAACAAACUUGGAAAUAGCUGGUUCUCUCCGAAAACUAUUUAGGUAGUGCCUCAAGUAUCACCAUCGGGGGUAGAGCACUGUUAUGGCUAGGGGGUCAUCGCGACUUACCAAACCAUUGCAAACUCCGAAUACCGAUGAGUGCGAGCUUGGGAGACAGACGUCGGGUGCUAACGUCCGGCGUCAAGAGGGAAACAACCCAGACCGCCAGCUAAGGUCCCAAAGAUUGGCUAAGUGGAAAACGAAGUGGGAAGGCUAAAACAGUCAGGAUGUUGGCUUAGAAGCAGCCAUCAUUUAAAGAAAGCGUAAUAGCUCACUGAUCGAGUCGUCCUGCGCGGAAGAUGUAACGGGGCUAAGCCAGUCACCGAAGCUGCGGAUAUGCGUAAGCAUAUGGUAGGAGAGCGUUCUGUAAGCCUGCGAAGGUGUCUUGUAAAGGAUGCUGGAGGUAUCAGAAGUGCGAAUGCUGACAUGAGUAGCGAUAAUGGGGGUGAAAAGCCCCCACGCCGUAAGCCCAAGGUUUCCUGUUCAACGUUCAUCGGAGCAGGGUGAGUCGGCCCCUAAGGCGAGGCAGAGAUGCGUAGCUGAUGGGAAGCAGGUUAAUAUUCCUGCACCGUCGUAUGAUGCGAUGGGGGGACGGAUCGCGGAAGGUUGUCUGACUGUUGGAAUAGUCAGUUUCUGGUUCAUAGAAGGCGCUUAGGCAAAUCCGGGCGC
rnacentral:rRNA from 1 species